GACCGCUCCGGUGGCUUAGUGGUUAGAGCGUCCGCCUCAGAUGCGGUAGGUCGUAGGUUCGAACCCCGGCCGAGUCA